GAGUAGUAAAAGUUAAUGUCUAGAAACUCAAAAGAUUUGGCGGUAUUUUAUCUUACUAGAGGAACCUGUUUAUUAAUUGAUAUUCCACAAUCAAAUUUACUUUUAAUAAAAUAUUUGUAUACCGCUGUCACGAAUAUAUUGAAAAAUUUAUUUUUUAAUCUUUUUAAGAUUUAUGUUAGGUCAAGGUGCAGUGUUUAGAGAAUAUAAUGGGUUACAAUAAAGAUUAUGAAUGUAAAUUUUGAAAUAGGAUUUAGAAGUAAAAAAAUAUUAAAAUUAUAUGAAUAAAGAUUCUAAAAUAUG
rnacentral:rRNA from 1 species